rnacentral:rRNA from 1 species
UACAGAGGGGGCAAGCGUUGUUCGGAAUUACUGGGCGUAAAGGGCUCGUAGGUGGCCUUCUAAGUUGAACGUGAAAUCCCUGGGCUCAACCCAGGAACUGCGUCCAAGACUGGGAGGCUUGAAUCCGGGAGAGGGAUGCGGAAUUCCAGGUGUAGCGGUGAAAUGCGUAGAUAUCUGGAGGAACACCGGUGGCGAAGGCGGCAUCCUGGACCGGUAUUGACACUGAGGCGCGAAAGCCAGGGGAGCAAACGGG